UGGGGAAUAUUGCACAAUGGAGGAAACUCUGAUGCAGCGAUGCCGCGUGAGGGAAGAAGGUUUUAGGAUUGUAAACCUCUGUCUUCAGGGACGAAAAAAGGACGGUACCUGAGGAGGAAGCUCCGGCUAACUACGUGCCAGCAGCCGCGGUAAUACGUAGGGAGCGAGCGUUGUCCGGAAUUACUGGGUGUAAAGGGAGCGUAGGCGGGAUCGCAAGUCAGAUGUGAAAACUAUGGGCUUAACCCAUAAACUGCAUUUGAAACUGUGGUUCUUGAGUGAAGUAGAGGUAAGCGGAAUUCCUAGUGUAGCGGUGAAAUGCGUAGAUAUUAGGAGGAACAUCAGUGGCGAAGGCGGCUUACUGGGCUUUAACUGACGCUGAGGCUCGAAAGCGUGGGGAGCAAACAGGAUUAGAUACCCUGGUAGUCCACGCCGUAAACGAUGAUUACUAGGUGUGGGGGGACUGACCCCUUCCGUGCCGCAGCAAACGCAAUAAGUAAUCCACCUGGGGAGUACGACCGCAAGGUUGAAACUCAAAGGAAUUGACGGGGGCCCGCACAAGCAGUGGAGUAUGUGGAUUAAUUCGAAGCAACGCGAAGAACCUUACCAGGUCUUGACAUCCAACUAACGAAGUAGAGAUACAUUAGGUGCCCUUCGGGGAAAGUUGAGACAGGUGGUGCAUGGUUGUCGUCAGCUCGUGUCGUGAGAUGUUGGGUUAAGUCCCGCAACGAGCGCAACCCUUGCUAUUAGUUGCUACGCAAGAGCACUCUAAUAGGACUGCCGUUGACAAAACGGAGGAAGGUGGGGACGACGUCAAAUCAUCAUGCCCCUUAUGACCUGGGCUACACACGUACUACAAUGGAUGUUAACAGAGGGAAGCAAGACAGCGAUGUGGAGCAAACCCCUAAAAACAUUCUCAGUUCAGAUUGCAGGCUGCAACCCGCCUGCAUGAAGAUGGAAUUGCUAGUAAUCGCGGAUCAGCAUGCCGCGGUGAAUACGUUCCC
rnacentral:rRNA from 1 species